rnacentral:rRNA from 1 species
CCUACGGGCGGCAGCAGUGAGGAAUAUUGGUCAAUGGGCGUGAGCCUGAACCAGCCAAGUCGCGUGAAGGAUGACUGUUCUAUGGGUCGUAAACCUCUUUUAUAAAGGAAUAAAGUGCGGGACGUGUCCCUUUUUGUAUGUACCUUAUGAAUAAGGAUCGGCUAACUCCGUGCCAGCAGCCGCGGUAAUACGGAGGAUCCGAGCGUUAUCCGGAUUUAUUGGGUUUAAAGGGAGCGUAGGUGGGCUGUUAAGUCAGUUGUGAAAGUCUGUGGCUCAACCGUAAAAUUGCAAUUGAUACUGGGAGGCUUGAGUACGGUUGAGGUAGGCGGAAUGCGUGGUGUAGCGGUGAAAUGCUUAGAUAUCACGCAGAACCCCGAUUGCGAAGGCAGCCUGCUAAGC